GUCUGGCCAAUCAGCAUAUCAAAUCCCUCUGCCCUUAGUGAUUGGUUGAGGGGUGGGCCAAUCAGAGCCGCUGAGCCUCCAUUGCAGGACUCGUGUGGGAACCAUGGAAAAGGAAGCCGUUUCUUGCUGGGCGUAGCUGAGAGGCUGGCAUGGGAACCUCGAAGGGCGGCUGCAGCUGUCUUACCAGCAGAGGAGACGCAUCUGCUUGUAGGUGGAGCCCACACAGAGGAAAUCACAGCCCCCAAAUGGAGGGAAUGAAACGGAUGACGUCACCGGCGGCCCCCCCCCCCCCCAUUUGUGCCAGAGACCCCUGGCUUUUCAGUUACUUGAACCAGUGGAUUCCCUUUUCCUCUGUCGCCAGGUUGAGUUUCCUUUUGCAUUUCCCGCGACCAAAAAUGGACACUGCCUUCAGCAAGUGCCAAGUAACAGUGCGUCCAGGCCCUAGAAGACAAGCCAUGCUCCGCCAGUUUCCUUUCUCUCGAGUGGGAGUCUGCCCGGGCCCUGCAUGUUCUUUGACGAGUGUCUUUUGCUCCCCAUCCCUUCGCUUGCUGUUCCCCCAGCCCUGGAACCACCGUGGCCCCCCGUCGUCCAGCUGACGCUUGGAACCCGUGGAGUGGAACGUUGUGUUAUUCAACUUUCUCCAGCGUCAGCCCACUGGUUUUCUGUCUCGGGUGACGUGGGCUGAACGCAAAACACCACAGCCUGCUGGUUUGAAUUCCACCGCCUGCCUUCAUCGGCCUGACUGUGUACAUGUAGCUGGGUGGCAAAUGCCAUAUCCGUCUGAUGGCUCCGAGCCACAAUUUCACCCUGUCACUGAUACCCAUUAUGUCAUUUUGGAAAAUGCAGGGAUCCGGGCUGUCCAAUCUCUCCAAAUAUAUGAUUAUAAACAGAUAAAUACACAUUUAAAAUCCAUUCUUACUUUGGCGGGAUCUGAGAAGAAAAUGCGGUCUUUGUGGUUGUUUUCCCAUAGAAACGAGAAGAAAGCCGGAUGGCACACCAUCAAUAUCACAAGCAACGAUGAAACACAAAUACCGUGACCUCCAUGAAGACGAGUUUUGUGACUUUCUGUAAACCACAGGCCUCAGUGCCUGAAAGAGGGUUUUCUGUAACCAGCAGAGGCUACAGCAAACAGAAUCAAUCUCCCACUCAGAUAUAUCCAUUUGAUGUCCUUCCUUCCUUCCCCACUGUACUUUGGAGCAGCCGUAUUGCCUGAAGGUAUGAGAAAGGUUGAGAACGGAGAGAGGGAAUGGAUAGAAAUAAUAGGUCCAUCCUCUGAAAAAUAAAAUAUUCAGUGACUUCACAAGACACCUGAUACUUAACUUCUUUGGUGAACCGCUCCCUCACCCCCCUCAAGGAAUCUGACAAACCCCUCUAGAUAAUUUAGGCUACCUUGAGAAACCAGGAUAUUUUUCUUAAAAGCUAAAAUAAAUCUGGUAUCGUCAUAAAGGACAAAAGUGGAGAGAAGGGGGAGUAUUCAGGUGUCUGAAGUCCAAGAAGACGGUGAGGCUGACACAGGAAGAGAUGAACAAUGGCAGAGCAGAGCUGACGGCCCUUGGGUGGGGGGAGACUCCUCAGCACCUGCCUUGACCUGUCUCCUGGGAAGGCUGCCUGGAAGAAGAGGCAUUCCUCUCAUGAGGGAAUUGACUUCUUACUUCAUCAAGCGUGGCAUCAAAACAUUGCUUAGAUGGAGCUCAGGGCCUUCCCACGGAAUAUUUUGCCAGAUCUCCUCGCUUUCAACUGAUAGUGAUGCCGGCCAUGCACAUGCACCUCUUAGAUCACCAACUGCAAGGAGGAGUGUAAUUGGCAGUGGUCCCCGCUGAAGACCGUCUCCCUGUUUGCACCAUGCUUUCCACUCAGCGCUCUCGGCAGGUGCCUGAGCUUGGUGGGAAUUCUAAGGAAGGCCGUUCCUGGAAGGCACUUCGUCCUCCGGCGGGAGGACUUGGUCUCCCCAGGGGCCUUGGCAAACCUUUCUUAGAAUGGCUCUGCGGACGAAGACUCUCCCUCCCCUGCUCCUUCGGCCCUUUCUCCUCCACACCUGGGACAUGCAUAGCUACCUCAGGGCCCUCCCAGCUUCCUCUGGCUAUAUCCCUAUUUUCUCUCUAGGCAUUUCCCCCAAAGAAUCUCCUACACAACUAAUCCUGUUUUGGUAUCUGAUUAUCAAAGGACCUGAACUAACGCAGAACUAUACUUUCUGAAAGUAGGUAAAUUUGCUUUCGUUUUUGUUUUUGUUUUUGAUUGUGCAUAAGGUUCUUUAUAUGGCAGAUAGUGAGGUGAGGUGGGAAAAACUUAAUUAGGAGCGUGGGCUUGUAGGUCCAAAGGCCUGAGUUCACAUCCCCUCCCUGGGCUCCUUCCAUUUCUGUGUCCUUGAACAUGGUAUUUAGCCUUGCUCCCUAGCUAAACCUGUUUCUUUAUCAGCAAAAUGGAGAUGAUAAGUUACCUACUUCAUAGAAUUGUUUCAAGAUUAAAAGGAUAUUACGUGAAUGCGAGAUUUCAAGCGCACGUAACGAGAGUUGCUCUUCAUUGAGGGCUUUCUACGUUUACUACGAUUACUCACUUAAUCCUCACAAUUUUUAUAUGGGGUAUCCAACUUUACCGAUCAGAAAAGCAGGGUGCAGAGGGGGUGAGAGGCAGAGCCAGCAUUUGAGGCCGAGCUCCAGAGCCCGAGGUCUCUAACUGUACCCCGUGUCCUUCCCCAAAUAGCAAAUGCUUGGGAAAUAGCUCGCUGUGGUUUCAUCAUUAAAUCGGGGGGAGUUUUCCACUUUCUGUUCCUGUGACUUUGACGAGAGUCUUCAACCAAAAACAAAGUUGUGACUUUGCAGAGGUGACCUGAGGCAGGGUCUGUACAAGGCCCAGCACCACGCCUGGUGUUUCGUAUGCGCUCACUGAAUUGUAGCUAUUAUAAUUACCACUAUUAUUCCUCUCUCUUAGCAGUAUCGCCGUGAAGGAACGAUGGGCUGUGUGUCCCUCGCUUCGGAGGGGGCGUCUGCCAGGUGGGAACUGAAAUGCACCGGGAAGGGGCGGAGUUAUCACUGCUCCUGUUACUAUAGCAGAUAUCUCAGUCUAUCUUUUGCAAGCCUGCGUCGCUUUAUGGGAACUUUGCCCCGUUCUCACUCCUCCCUGUCUGGCUCAAUCUGCUGCCUGCCCAGGGCCAUCAAUAAUAUAUGUCCCCGUGGGCGGCUGAAAGACAUUAAGGACACAUGGUGAUGGAUCAGAGUGCUGGUCGCCCUCUGCAUGCAGACUGCGUGGGAGACUGGGGCUGGAGGCCGUCAUGGCCAGCCUCCAACUGGGGGGCAGCGGGGGGCAACUCCACUGACAGCAGCUGCUGCGGAGCCCAGAUGUGUGCGUGGCGGCCUCGUCUUCGUACGCUUAUUCUAGCACAGACAUGCACGUGUUCUUUCUUCCUAAAAUAGCAGGGAGGAAAUAGAAAAUGCAUGUUGCACAAUUCUUUUUCACUCUCCUUUCCAUUCUGUGUCAUGCUUUAUUAACACGGUCAAACCGAAAUCAGACAGGUGUUCCGAGACAUCAUAGGCUAGGUUGUUAACAGGCCAGGUGUGUUCUUGGCCUUGGCCUUCUCUCCUCGUUGCCCCUCCAGUGCCUCUCGACAUCCUCGUCCCCACAGACGCACCUCAACAUCCACCUCCCUACUUGGCUUGCAGGCGUAUGGGAUCUGCGGCUUACUCUCUCCGAGUUCUGGUUAAUACUUAAUCCCUUCCACUCACUCAUGAGAUUCAGUUGUACAGAUGUACGAACACCUGGAGUGUGGAAGGACACGUGCGCUCCCCGCCUUCCCGGGACUUCACACCGGUGGUGCUCUCGCUUCUGCGGGCAACAGAAUCGCCUGCAGGGCUGGCUUUGAAAACACACACCGCUGGGCUCCACCUCCGGAGCUUUCCAUUCAGCGGACGUGGAGUGGGUCUGAUCUUUUGCUCUUCUAACGUUCCCCAGGGGCUGCUGUGCUGCUAGUCCUGGGGCCGCACGUCGAGGCCACUGGCUGGUCUGAGACCCACACACGUCCGCAGGCAUUGAGGUAACUGGCACCACAGAGGCUGUGUGGCUGUGUUGGCAGAGGCCGAUUUCUGAAUGGGUCAUCCCGGAGGGGGUGACCUCUUUGCAGGCUCACGGGGGGCUCCUGCAGAUGGGGUGGUCGAGAAGUAGUUUUCAUGAGGUACAUGCAGAUACUGAGGCAGAGGAGGGGGAGUCUCGGGGCAGGCAGCAGGGUUGGCCUUCUUAAAAUUCCCUUGUUGACUGUCUCCAUGACGUUGGCCAGUACUUACUGUGCCCCAGGAGCAGCCCCCAGCUGGGGAUGGGCUUUCUUGCCCCUCAGGCGGGACACCUCUUAGGCGUGCUCUGCAUAGUCUCCUGCGAUCCCAGCAGGACAGAAACCCAGUUGCCCACAACGGUAACCUGAUUCUUAAUGCCUGUACAGGCAUCCUUCCUUUCCUAGUCUCAAUUCUCCAUUCUCCUCGGGGCGCCUCCUGGGAUCAUCUCCCAAAUAAAUUACUUGCACUCACUAACUUAUCUCUGGAUUUGCUUCUGGGGAAACCCAAAUGAAAACACCUGCUAAACAAUCAGUCAAGCGUCAUGUCAGAAGAAAGACAUUUCCAGACGUGCAGAGUGUUUAGGAACCUUUUCAAGGAAGGUGUCAGAGAAUGUGCUCUCCCAAAAUGGGGCCACGCAUCAAACAAGAGGAAGACAUGCCAUACAGAAAGCAGCUCUCAGUGAAGGAAGGGGGGUGAAGAAAGCCCUGAGGGUGCAGGUGUGUACAGCUGGGUGACAGCUGGGAGCCGGGCACACAGGGCCACCGGGUCAGCCUGGAGCACAGCUGAAUGCUCUGGGAGAGAGCGUCCUUAGGCAGAGAAACUUGACAAAGUUCUGAAUGCAUUUGGACUCCUUGGGAAGGGUGUUUAGAUGAUUGUUUGUCAGUUUGGUCUUAAAUUAGUGAUAAGAACAUAGUGUACCAUGCAGACUUUUUAAAAAGAAAAGGACAAUUCAAGUCUAGGAAAAACACAAAGUUAUGAGUUAGCUAUGUUAUAAAAUGGUAGUGUUGACUGAUCCAAU